UGUGUCAGCAAAACCUUACCGAGCAAAGCUCAACAGAAUUCUGGCACAGACACAGUGAAUCAGGACAAGUUCAGCUAACUCCUGCACUAGAACUGUCUGCUCCCUCUGAUUGCCAGUCUCUUGCCUUGUGUCUGACUUUUGCAGGAGAUAAACUGCCCUAUGGCUUUCCCGAUGGCUCAAGCAGUAAACAAUCCGCCCUGAAUGCAGGAGACACAGGGGACUUGGGUUCGAUCCCUGAGCAGGGAAGAUCCCCUGGAGGAGAAAGCAGCAACCCACUCCAGCAUUCUUGCCUGGAAAAUCUCAUGGACAGAGGAGCCUGGCGGGCUACAGUCCAGGGGGUUGGCCACAACUGAGCACACACACACUGUUGGAAUUGGAAACCGGCCUAUGAGAGAUGUCCUCCUACUGAAAGCAAACAACCUUAUCAUCAAGGGUGGGAAGGUGAAGGCAAGAGACUUCUGUGCAAAAAGACCUUGUUAAAAUAACUCUUACCUUUCUUUAGCCUCCCUGUUUAUUUUAGUUAGUUUUCCACAAUUACCUGUCUUUGUUCAUUAGGUCUUUAUUUCCUUAUGAGGGCUUUCCUGUCACAUUAAAAUUAUACUAAAUAA